CCUCCCUGCCUCUCUUUUUCUCUCUCAUGUUACUUUCUCUUUCUGUCUUCCUUUUUAAUGCCAUGGAGUACUAUAUUCUUCAAAGUUCCAACAAAGAUGCACUACAUUUGGACAAUGUGGAAAUGGCCCUCAGCCUUCUCUUCCUGAUGUGCCAAUUCCACUGAUCCUGUGAAGGCUGCCCAAUUUGAGCCACCUGGACGUCAAAUGAUUGCCAUCAGAAAGAGACAACUUGAAGAAACCAACAAUGACUAUGAAACAGCUGACGGCGGCUACAUGACUCUGAACCCCAGGGCACCUACUGACGAUGAUAAAAACAUCUACCUGACUCUUCCUCCCAACGACCAUGUCAACAGUAAUAACUAAAGAGUAACGUUAUGCCAUGUGGUCACACUCUCAGCUUGCUGAGUGGAUGACAAAAAGAGGGGAAUUGUUAAAGGAAAAUUUAAAUGGAGACUGGAAAAAUUCCUGAGCAAACAAAACCACCUGGCCCUUAGAAGUAGCUUUAACUUUGCUUAAACUACAAACACAAGCAAAACUUCAUGGGGUCAUACUACAUACAAGCAUAAGCAAAACUUAACUUGGAUCAUUUCUGGUAAAUGCUUAUGUUAGAAAUAAGAGAACCCCAGCCAAUCAUAAGCAGCCUACUAACAUAUAAUUAGGUGACUAGGGACUUUCUAAGAAGAUAGCUACCCCCAAAAAACAAUUAUGUAAUUGAAAACCAAUCGAUUGUCUUUAUUUUGCUUCCACAUUUUCCCAAUAAAUACUUGCCUGUGACAUUUUGCCACUGGAACACUAAACUUCAUGAA
rnacentral:sRNA from 1 species